rnacentral:lncRNA from 1 species
UCAUGCAUUAUGCACAUGUAUACUUUGCAUAAGAUUUCACAUAUAUUAGUGUGCAUGAAGUGGGAACAAGUAUAUGAAAUUUGUAAUAGACUAAGAUUUACUUCAAAGAAUAACGAAAAUGAAGAAGACAACAAUAAGGAACACAAGCUUUUAUUAUUCAACUGUCAAUGGAAUUGAAUUACAAUAGUUCCACCAUAGCUAUUGUACAAUUGAUGCAUGUAAGAGAGAAGAAGAAGAAGUUGGUCAGGGAAUUGAGAGAGAAAGAGAAGAGAGAAGAGUAGGCAGUUAGGAAGUUGUAACAGAAUAAUACCAGUAAUUUUGCUUGAGUCCUCAGCUCCCUUGCGUGUAUUUAUUGUUAAGUACCAUUGGGCUUCUAAUUCUAACUGGGCCUUAACUAAAGAAUUAACCGGAGUCCACUACUAAAGAACUAACCGGAGCCCACUUGUUUAUAUGGCCCAAGCCUUACACUAAGGUAAUAUAGAGAAGAGAUCACUUUCCUAAUUAGUGAGCUAGGAUUCUCCGACAUAACACUCCCAUCCCCUUCAAGAAAGACCUUGUCCUCAAGGUCGUAGUUGAGCCACAAAAUCUGAAAAUCGAUGCUUGACAUAGCCCCAAUCUUCCCAAGAAGCUUUCUUUUCACUUAGAUUAGCCCACUGAACCAAUACUUUUACAUCAACACCAUUGUUGACUCGUACCAUCUUUCUCUGAAGAAUGGUUGUUGGUUGAAUCAAGACCUUACCCUCCAUAUUGCAGAGAGGAGGUUGCUGUGCUGGGACGAUGGUAGGACCUAUUCGACAUUUCAGCUUCGAGACAUGAAACACAUGGUGUAUUUGCGACCCUGGUGGAAGUUGUAAUCGGUAAGCUACAGAUCUAAUUUUUUGUUCAACCUUAUAUGGACCAUAGUAUCUGGCACACAACUUAACAUUUCUGCACACAUAUAUAGAGGAUUGGCGAUAGGGCUGUAGCUUUAGGUAAACUUGGUCUCCCACUUCUAGUGUUCUUUCUGACCUCAAUAUAUCUGCAUAGAACUUCAUGCGAGCCUAGUCAAAUUGUCCUUUAGUGCUUGUAACAUAUGCUGUCAUUGAGCUACACUCACUCCUGCUAGUGAUUGGCCAGUAUUAGGUAAGGAUCCUGUAGGUAGUUGGGGUGGUGAAUAACUAUUCAGUGCCUGAAAUGGGGUGGUCUUCAGUGCACUAUGGUAGUUGGUGUUAUACCACCAUUCCACCAAAUGAAGCCGCUUGGUCCAUAGCUUAGGAUUGUCAAAUACCAUUGCUCGUAAAUAAGUUUCCAUGCACCUAUUUAACCUUUCAGUCUGCCCAUCUGAUUGUGUAUGAUCGGCUGUGCUCAUGUUCAAUUUGGUACCCAUAGUCUUGAAAAGGUGUUGCCAAAAAUGGCUAGUGAAUAAAAGGGUCUCUAUCAGAUACUAUAGUCCUAGGUAGCCCAUGUAGUCUAUAGACUUCCCUGAGGAAUAGUCUGCUACCUCCUGAGCUGAAAAUGGAUGUUUGAUAGCCAGGAAGUGACCAUACUUAGUGAACCUAUCAACCACCACUAAUACUGCAUUCUUACUCCUAGAGUUGGGUUGUCCCUUCACAAAAUUCAUGGAUAUGUCCUGCCAUGCCUGGUCUGGUACUGGAAGUGGCUGAAGCUGGUGGUGGACAUUUUCAGCCUUAACUCUUUGACAGACAUCACAUUCCUCUACCCAUUUACACAUUUCUUUUUUCAUAUUUAGCCAAUGAAACAGAUGUGAUCUAUGUAGGUACCUUGCUGACCUGAGUGUCCACCAAUGGUAGAAUGAUGCAUAGUUUGUAGGAUUUUUUCCCUUAGAUCAGUGCCUUUUCCCACAUAGAUUUUUUGUUUGUACCUGACGACCCCUUGGUGCAAAGUAUAGUCAACCUUGCUAUUAGGAGCUAUGGUCAACUCUCUCAGUAGUUUUAAGGCUAGUAGAUUACCUUCAUAGCUGUCAAUGAUAUCUUGUAGCCAAGUAGCCUGUGUGCUGGAUUUGGCUAACAGUGUAGAAUCCUCCUCCUGUCUUCUUGAAAGGGCAUUUGCCACCUUAUUCUCACUACCCUUCUUGUAUUAAACCUCAUAGUCAAGGCCCAUCAGUUUGGUUAACCCUUUCUGUUGCAAGGCUGUAGUUACCUUAUACUCUAGUAGGUAUUUCAAACUUUGAUGAUCAGUCUUAACAAUAAAGUGCCAUCUUUGCAAGUAAUGUCUCCAUCUAUCUAUAGCUGAUAGAACUGUCAUAUACUCUUUUUCGUAAGUAGAUAACCCCAUAUGCUUGAGUGCUAAGGCUUUGCUGAAAAAGGCUAUAGGCCUGCCCCUUGCAUCAACAGAACCCAUCCCAGUAGCACAUGCAUCAGUUUCUAUCACAAAAGCCUUGGUGAAAUCAGCUAACCCAAGCACUAGUAUUGUUGACAUAGCUGUCUUUAACUGUUGAAAGGCUGACUCUGCCUCCUCAUUCCAUUGAAAGGCAUUCUUCUUAAGCAGAUUAGUUAAUGGUCUGCUUAUGAUUUCAUAGAAUUUAACAAACCUCCUAUAGUAGCCAGUCAACCCCAGGAAUCUCCUUAAAGCUUUCACAAAUCUAGGUACAUGCCAGUUUAUCAUUGCCUCAAUUUUAGCAGGGUCAGUGGACACCCCUUUACCUGAGAUAAUGUCCCAAGUACUCCACCUUAUCCUGUCCAAAAGCACACUUAGACAGUUUUGCAUAAAGUUGUUCCUUAUGUAAGACCUCCAACACCCUCUUGAGGUGUAACAUAUGAGUCUCUAUAGAAGAACUAUAGACUAGUAUAUCAUCAAAAAAUACCAACACAAACUUCCUUAAAAAGGGUUUGAACACCUGAUUCAUGAGGCUUUGAAAAGUAGCAGGAGCAUUGGUCAAGCCAAAGGGCAUGACUCUAAAUUCAUAAUGCCCUAGAUGUGUUCUAAAUGCAGUUUUAUAGAUGGCCCCUUAAUUUUUAUUUGAUGAUAACCAGCUCUUAAGUCAAUUUUUGAAUAAAUGUAAGAGCCAUUAAGCUCAUCCAUAAGGUCAUCUACCAAGGUAAUUGGAAACUUAUCCUUAACUGUCAUCUUGUUUAGCUCUCUGUAAUUAAUGCAAAAUCUCCAGCUUCCAUCUUUUUUCUUUACCAAUAGUACAUGGGAAGAGAAUGGAGAGUGGCUAGGUUGUAUAGUACUAUCGUUAAGCAUUUUACUAACUUGGUUUUCUAUCUCAUUCUUUUGAAAGUAAUUAUACCUGUAUGGUCUAAUACUGAUUGGUGCUGCUUCAGGUUUAAGUGGAAUGUGAUGAUCAUGAGUUCUUCCUGGUGGUAGGCACUUUGGUUCAGCAAACACUCCUGGGAAUUCAGCUAUAACUUCUUGAAUCUUGUCAGGUAUGCUCCUUUGCAAUUUUGUAGUUUGCACAUUAAUUGUGAAUAAAUGUGCCCAUAAUAACUGUCCCUUCUUCAGUAGUUGUUUCACCCAGUAGCUGUUACACUCUGUAGUUUGCCCUCCUCAGAAUACCUUUUUAAACUACCCUUUUUCCUUUCACACUCACUUGUAGCCUAUAUCCAAUAAAGUCAAAUAGAAUUGGAUUGUGUUUUCUCAUUUAAUCCACCCCCAAAACUACAUUACAUCACAUCCCCCAAUAUCCAAUGGCCUCAGUUUGUGUUCAAAUUCAAUGCCCUGGGUUUUCCACUUGAACUGAGGACAAGAGUGAUAACUCAUUAAGUGUCCUCCAUUUGCAACAGCUACCCUCAUUGGUACAUCCUCUUGAAUUGCACACCCAAAUUGCUUGGCAGUGCUGCUAGGUAUUAAGCUGCGAGUAUUGCCACUAUCCGCUAGAAUUAUCAGCACCUGUUUACCAAAUACUCCCUUCAGCUUGAUAGUUGUAGAAGUAACAGUUCUUGAUAAUGCAUUGAGGCUGAUUGCCUCAUCUAUGAUAGCUUCUGGAUUCUCAUCGGAACCUAUCUCAUUCUCCAAUUGAUCUACUAUCUCCAGUUGUUCAGUGGUUCCUGACAAUAUAUUGAGUUGUUUGCUCUUGCAAACAUGCCCAGGGAAGCAUCUUUCCCCACACUUGUAGCAUUCUCCCCUAACUUUCCUAGCUUCAAAUUGUUUAGUCCCUGAGAUUGAUGUCUGAGGACCAUUCUCCUUCUGUAUAUAACUAGGAGGUCUACUCAAUGUAGUAUUAGCGUGAGUACUCGACUGAGUGGACUGUCUUCCUCCAUACCCCUUGUUCUUCCUACUCAUUGACUCCAUUAGCUCCUCCUUGUGCCUAGAUUUUUCUACUGCAUGACUUAAUGAGUAAGGAUCAAGCAUCUUAACAGUCUGCCUAAUCUCUUCCUUAAGCCCCUCUAUAAAAAAUCCCAAAAAGAACUCUUCAGGUAUGGUUGGAUGUUUAAUUAACACCCAUGCCUUCAAAUCUUCAAACCUCUCCAAAUACUCAUUAACUUAUCCAUUUUGUUCCACUCACUUAAACCUUCAUAACAAGUUAAGGUUACUAUUAUCAGCAUGAUUGAAUCUUUUACAGAUUUCUUCCCCGAAAUCAACCUAUCUAAAAGUACCUCUACUCAGUUGAUAAGAGAAAUACCAAGCCUAUGCUCUACUAUUUAAAUGUAGUACAUCAGUCUCAAAUUUAUGUUGUGGGUCAAUUAUGUGAUUGUAAUGAAAAUACCUCUCGCAUUUUCACAGCCAAGAUUUUGGAUCUCCCUCUUCGAAGUAAGGACAUUGACCUUGGGAUUUGAGUUGCUCGAGUGAAAUCUCCCAGCAGGAUUCUUGUGGUUCUCCAUGAUUCUUCCCCUACUACCAGAUCCUUCUAUUGUAUGAACAGCUGUUAGAGCACUUCCCAAGAUUCCAUCCUUGCUUGCGAAGAAUUUAUCCAUCAUAAGAUCGAAUUUGUGAUUCAAUUCAUUCAUUUUAGAGUCAUUCGACUCCAGCUUCUUACUAGUUUCUGCCGUGUAAUUAUGCAGUCGACUUUAUAAUUUUUUGACGCUUUCUUCUGUAACUUUUGCUCUGGUUUCCGGUACUGUCAUGAUGCCAGGAAUUGCUUUGAUACCAACUUUUAAUAGACUAGGAUUUACUUCAAAGAAUAAUGAAAAUGAAGAAGACAACAAUAUGGAACACAAGCUUUUAUUAUUCAAUUAUCAAUGGAAUUGAAUUACAAUAGUUCCACCAUAGCUACUGUACAAUUAAUAUCUGUAAGAGAGAAAAAGAAGAAGAAGAAGUUGGUUAGGGAGUUGAGAGAGAAAAGUAAGCAGUUAGGAAGUUGUAACAGAAUAAUACCAGUAAUUGCUUGAGUCCUCGACUCUGUUGCGUGUAUUUAUUAUUAAGUACCAUUGGGCUUCUAAUUCCAAUUGGGCCUUAACUAAAGAACUAACUGGAGCCCAUUACUAAAGAAUUAACCGGACACCACUUGUUUAUCUGGCCCAAGACUUACACUAAGGUGAUAUAGAGAAGAGGUCACUUUCAUAAUUAGUGACCUAGGAUUCUCUGACAUAACAAAAUUAUUGCUUUGAAUCUCAAAAUGUUGAAUUAACUGUUUCAAAUAAGUAAUUAUUGAGUGUCUGUAGUAUUUAUGCAUUUGUUUUAAUAACAAUUAUAAUAAAAUUGUACUCUAGUAUAUUCCAAUUUCCCAUCAUUCCUUUUAAGGCAACUCCCAGUAGUUUGUCUUUAGUUUCACAAACCCACUAAAAUUCUCUUUUUGCUCAAAUCUGUAAUCAUUUAAUUUAUUAAAAUUAUAUAAGAUCAG